AUAGAUUCUUUAGGUUUUGGAUAAAGAUCAAAUCCUUCUUGGGAGCAGCAAGGGGACGAUCCUGUACAGGUAGGAUCGAAUUAACCCCGUGGGACGCGUCCCGCCGGAUCGCUGGCUUCAUUGGCCUGUAGCCGGAAUACGAGGAGGAGGGGGAGGACGCGCUCCGGACAAGAAGUGAUGGCAGGGGCCGUAAUGGCGCUGCCUCGAACCGCCGCUAGAGGGUUCAGCGUGCAGAUGCCCGUCGCCGUCGAGCGUCCCUGCUUCGGUUCGUUCCUCGUUCCCUGCGAUCCCGGCGAAGGCGGAGUCCAGGUGCCCUUCUUUGCCCCCUUGCCGAGAAUCCAGUUACCAGAUUAACCAAAAAUAGGGUUUCAGGUUGGUCCACUAGAAGACUGCAUGGAUGAGGAGGGAGAUAUGGCAGAUGAGUUCUUGAGUGUAGCAACUGAGAUUCUCCCCGAUGAGAACCAAACAGCUCCACACAAGUUGCACACAGUACUACUACCAUAGCCAUAAGGAAUCAGGUCAUUGUUGCCGAUGGGAAAUACAUCAGAGCUUAGAAUCCUAAUCAAUAUUUAGAAUGGCAGAUUGGAAUAUCUUGAAAUGUCAUUGAGCUAUCCUCAACAUCUGGCAAUGUGCUAGGGUUUUCCAUGGUGCAUAAUGGGCGGGUGGUUCAAUUGUUUCCGCUAUGUUGUAAAACUAGAAUAAUAUGCCCUUUGAGCAUGUAUAAGUCUAUUUUUCCAAAGUAGACAAAUCAAAUGGGAAGAUCAUCUACUUUCAAGAUUAGUGUAAAGUUCGAAUAACUAGAUUAUCAAAAAGUAAAAUAGCAUGUCUUUUCGUUGA